rnacentral:rRNA from 1 species
UACGUAGGCAGCAAGCGUUGUUCGGAGUUACUGGGCGUAAAGGGUGCGUAGGCGGUCCUAUAAGUAUGGUGUGAAAUCUCCCGGCUUAACUGGGAGGGUGCGCUAUAGACUGUGGGACUAGAGUGUGGGAGAGGAAAGUGGAAUUCCUGGUGUAGCAGUGAAAUGCGUAGAUAUCAGGAGGAAUACGAUGGCGAAGGCAGGUCUCUGGGCUGACACUGACGCUCAUGCACGAAAGCGUGGG